UUUUUUUUUUUUUUUUUUUUUUUGAGACGGAGUCUCGCUCUGUCGCCCAGGCUGGAGUGCAGUGGCGCAAUCUCGGCUCACUGCAAGCUCCGCCUCCCGGGCUCACGCCAUUCUCCCGCCUCAGCCUCCCGAGUAGCUGGGACUACAGGCGCCCGCCACCACGCCCGGCUAAUUUUUUUUGUAUUUUUAGUAGAGACGGGGUUUCACCGUGGUCUCUAUCUCCUGACCUCGUGAUCUGCCCACCUCAGCCUCCCAAAGUGCUGGGAUUACAGGCA
rnacentral:lncRNA from 1 species